UGUGAAUAGGUCGAGUGCUGCAGUCGACACACGAGUUAUUAGUAGACAUAGCCUUUGAUAACUGUAAGCCGUCGUGAGCACGCCGAAGAAAAGUUGAACGCUAACUAGGUGUCACGCCGAGAUUGUCCAUUCAAUCGACCGCAGCAUAGCGACCAAAAUCUGGUGGUUUUCUGCAAAGACAAAUUUAUUUAGGCUACUCUUCCUCCCAAGAAUUUAAAUAAAGUUAGACCUUUUGCACGUGUUCAACCUUGGAAAAGGUUGUAAUUUAUGCAAAGGUCACUGAUCUUAGAAAAUGCUAUUCACUUGCUCACCCAUCCCCCCUAAACAUUUAGAAUCUUAUGCAAAUGACAGCAGCAAAAUUGAAAACAGUGGCAGCUUAUUGUUUACCCUCCCUUUGUCUGGCAACUGAAAAUACCAAAUGAUUCGACAUAAAUGCCUAUUAGUUUCCAAGGCCAUUGUUUUGUAUGGCCUUGUAUGGCCUAAUGACAACCACCAAUAGCAUUGAAACACGUGAGAAAACAGGUCAAUGUACGACAGCUUGCAACGUCACCACCAGAAAAACAAAUGGCUGAACAUAAAACUGGAAAUAGUUUUUCCACCGCGUGCGUGCAAAAUAGAUCCCAUCCAUAUAUUGUACUGUAUAUAUUUGUAAAUGAUUGUGGGAAGCUCCUGAUCUCGUUUGAUUGUUUUGGGUCUAGUUUCUAACCGUUUUUCAAGUGAACGAGCCUAUCGCUGUGAAUUACAUUUUCGUGGGACAUCGCGAAAAGAAUAACGAUCUUUGGCAAUUGGAGAACGUGAUUAAAUUUAUUGAUCGUGUUACAUCGUAUACAGGCCGUCAUGAAAUGAAAUUAGUGGCAUGCUAAUAACAAUUAGUCUUCCCUGCUGGAACGAGUCCUGAUGGAAUAAUAAACAUUGACUUUAUGCAA